AUCCAGCUGAUGAGUCCCAAACAGGAUAUAAUGUGCGUCCUGGAU
rfam:Schistosoma margrebowiei strain Zambia genome assembly, scaffold: SMRZ_scaffold0003571